AAACAGCCUUCUGCACUCACAGCCGAAGGGAAAGCAGCAGGUUGGGGCUUCUUGUGGCCAACUUCAGAGCCUGUCACCAGGAAAGGUAAGCAUGGGAGGAAGGAAGAUGGCGACAGAUGAAGAAAAUGUCUAUGGUAAGACCAAAUCUCUACACCUCAUACUUGCCCCCCUAGGCUUGAACUUAGGGUAAUAAGGAGAAUGGGGCUUCCUCAAGACUGAACAGAGAUAAGUUCCAGAGGUGUCUCAACUCUGGGAUGAAACAGCACCAGCCCUGAGAUUUGCAUUUUAGCUGGAUCUCUGCUGUGAGAAGUUAAGUUCUGUGACUAGCCUGCUCCCUUGGUUCCACGGUAUAAAAUAAGGAUAAUAAACCUACUCCGAUCACCACAGAAGAAGUGCAGAGGGGAUUAAAUCAUGCACUACAGUGAACAUGAUUUGUGAGGUAGAAUGUUUAGAGAACAAGGAUAGAGGGUUAAAACAUAUAUUCUUUUUAGGCAGCCAGUUUAAGAGAGAGAUAAGAGAGGAAGGAGAGAAAGAGGGAGAGAAGGAGAGAAGAAGGAAAG
rnacentral:sRNA from 1 species